AAGCAUGGUGUGGGCAUUUUCUCAACAUCUCUUUGUAUCUUUCUCAGGCUUUAUAUAGUGAUUCACCAUCUUUCUGGGAGAAGGAAUUUAUGUCAUUUCUCAGCCG